ensembl:lncRNA
CGCAUACUGUGUUUGGAGAGGAUCUGGCACAGCUGGAUCUAGCACAAGAGCAUUUUCCCUGGGAACAAUGAGGCUUUAACACAGCAAGAGAGGGGUCUGUACACCAGCUGACCAGUUCAAACAGGAAUCUUUCGCUGGAUGUUGGUCUGUUCAGCAUUCUGAUGGCAGCUGGAUGACAGACGUAGAUCACAUGAUACCGGCUUCAGAGAUAAUAGAGGCUAUUAAUAGCAAUGACAGCAAGUGCUCAGCCCUGUGCAGUAAACCUAGAUACCUGAUACAAGGCUCAGACACACUUCCAUCCCAUAAUGCAAAUCCCUCCAAGGAAAUUUCAGUUGUGCCAAAGUGAGGUUGAGGGCGUGGAUGGGGAAAGUCAGAGAUGGAGGAUGGAUGAAUCCUGUAACCCAACGCAAUAUUUGUUUGUGGAAUCGUGCCUUCAGACUCUUCCAUGAUCUCAUCUUCGGUAAAAUGAGUGUAUCUGCUGUGGCCCCCUGCCAGAAGAGGAAUGAAGUGUGUGAUGAAGUACUCAUGCUGUUGCUCACGCAUAAUUGGCUUAAACAAUUCAAGUGCUCGGCAUUUAGAUAAUUACCUACAAUCAAAUCAAAUAUCACACAUAUUCGUGAUAGUGAGCAAUGGUAAUGAAAUCCAGAAAGAUUGCAAAAAGCGGUGUUAUCCAACAUGCUUCAAUGUUACGGCAUAUUAGUCACUGAACACUUUAAUGCCAGCUGAAAAAUCUGCCAUUUAAAGGAGUAGUUCUUUCAUCAUUUACUCACUCUCAGUGCCGCCGCUUCCUAUGUGCAGAGUACGCAGUUUCCAUAAGGCACCAAUCCCGGGGGGUACUGGAUACAAAUGAUCAUCAGAAUUAAUGGAC